ACAGGAGGGAGCAGUGGGGGAUAUUGGACAAUGGGGGCAAGCGAGAUCCCUCCACCCGCGAGCGUGAUGAUGCCCGAAGAAAUAUCGUGAUCUUUAAUGCGGGAAGAUAAUGACUACACGCAAGAAUAAGCCCCGUAACUAUGUGCCAGCAGCCGCGGUAUUACGUGGGGUGGGAGCGUUUUUCGGAAUUACAGGGCGUAAAGGGCGUGCGCGCGCUGGUCCAAGUGUCAUGGGUGAAAUCCCGGGGUUAAACUGGGGAACUGCCUUUGAAACUGGAGAUCUAGAGUGCGGGAGAGGAGAGGAAUUCUCCGGGUGUAGCGGUGAAGUGUGUAGAUAUGGGGGAACACCCCUGGGGAGAGGGCGGCUCUCUGGCCCAAUACUGACGCUGAGGCACGAAAGCGUGGGGAGCAAACGGGAUUAGAUCCCGGGGUAGUCCACGCCGUAAACGAUGCAUAUGUGGUGUGGGCAGUUCAAUCCGUCAGUGCCGCAGCUAACGCGUAAGUAUCCGCCUGGAUAGUACCGU
rnacentral:rRNA from 1 species